GGCAGAUGAUUGGGGUGAAGUCGUAACAAGGUAUCCCUACCGGAAGGUGGGGAUGGAUCACCUCCUUUCUAAGGAGC
rnacentral:rRNA from 1 species